rfam:Canis lupus familiaris chromosome 13, whole genome shotgun sequence.
CGGAGGAACAACCCCAGUGGCGGUGCCAACUCUGGAGCCCUGGAUUCAGCCCCCGCAGUAGCCCCGGAGCUCUCCGUCUGCAGGGCCUGGAGGCUCCGGGGCGGG